rnacentral:rRNA from 1 species
UACGUAGGGGGCAAGCGUUGUUCGGAAUUACUGGGCGUAAAGGGCGCGUAGGCGGCACGGCAAGUCAGGAGUGAAAGCCCGGGGCUCAACCCCGGAAGGUCGUUUGAAACUGCCGAGCUAGAGUGCGGAAGAGGCUACUGGAAUUCCCAGUGUAGCGGUGAAAUGCGUAGAUAUUGGGAAGAACACCUGAGGCGAAGGCGGGUUGCUGGGCCGACACUGACGCUGAUGCGCGAAAGCCAGGGGAGCGAACGGG